rnacentral:lncRNA from 1 species
UGCCGAGCGAGAGGAUGGUCUCCAGCAGCUCCAUUGAUUUCCUCUCCGUCUCCUCCACCGGCCUCCGACGCUCUCCGCUUCCCCCCGCUGCAGCACACAGAAUGGGCUUUAACAAAGACCUCAGCAGACACCCGCCGACCAUGACCGAUACCCAACCUCACUGCAGACCUCUUCGUCGAGCUGAAAGCCACCCCCCACCACAACCGGCGUUCUCCUCCUGCCUCUGACAUUUGACUCGACACGAAUUACUAAGGUCUAUCCAUUAUUUCUACUUUUGGUGUGUUGCUUUUUUUGUGUGCGCUCAAGCCUGGGCCUAUUAGGCUGCAGCUGAUUCCACUGCAAUAAAAUCCAGCUACAAACUCAAGAGACUCCACAGAAUAUAUAUAUAUGAAUGUUCUCAUUGCAGGGUGGUAAGAGGAACACAACAUUUUACCUUAUAUAAGAUUUUAAGGUCGAAAAAGGUCCUUGUGCGCUGAGUUGAGAUCAGGCCUCUUGCUUUUCAGGUAGGAAGAUACUAUAUAAAGCUACUUUUCAAAGAGUGAAUGCCUGUUAUUGUUGUUUGUGAUUGUGUACUUGAGGGUGACUUUCAUUCUGUAUUUCAUUUCCCCUGUGACCCAUGGAGUCAUGUAUUUUGAACAAAAAAAAGCAUUUUUCUUCUUCUGAGGGUAAUAAGUGGCUUUUGAGCAAAAAAAAAAAAAAAAAAACUCCCAUGUUUUUUUUUUAAAGUGGCAUUUCAAAAAGGUUCUCCAAACCAAAUGACCAGAUUGGUUUGCCACUUCCAACAUGACUCAGAGGGAUGUGUCAUAAACUAAAUCACUACUAAAUCAGUUUGAAUACACACUCCAAAUUGUGCAGCACCCAUGAGUAGUAAGACAGAGCUUUAUAAGCUGCAAAGAAGACAGUGUCUUCAAACAAAGUGCCUCGAUAAGAUAUGGGAAAGUACUUAAAUAUAACUCCAAGAGAAAGAAAUAGAGCUGUCAGCAUUAUGGUGUUAUCAUUCUGGGAUGAAGCUCAUUGUUAUGUUUUUAAAUUCAUGCUGGUUUGUUUCAGCUGAUCAGCCAAAAGUAUUAUGCACUUUGCAGCAAAAAGAUUGAAAAUCUCACAGAGGUACUCCGAUUUUGAGCUAAGUAUGCAGGUUGCCAUUGGUUCUGUUCUGGACAAGAAAGGAUGGCGAAGUCGAAACUCCGGUGUGGUGGUUUUUAUUCACACAAACUCCCCAAAAACAGCAAACUGUGGCAAAAUAUUUAGAGUCUAGGAUAACAACAGCAAAACAAGGCAAAUAAACAAAGUAUGAACAGCAGAAUCUCAGUAAAACUUACACUUGUACACUUAUAACCCACAAUGCCACAAGGUAAAGAGCUCCCCUUAGAGCACACCUGGGCAUUUUAUGGCCCGUGGGCCACAUUUGGCCCUUUUGAUGUCAUAUCAUCAACAUGCUAUACAAGUGUGUUGCUCUUAUUUUGAAAAACUAGUCAUUGCUUUAUUUCCGUUUGGACGCACAUAUGUACAUCCUAGAUCUGCGUUCGUGAACAGAGACAAGUUUAAUCAUUAGCAAAAUAUUCAUAGACACCUUAUAGUUGCCAAGUCCACUUAUUAUUAAAGACUUUAAGCUUGUUUCUUUUAGAAGUCGCGCAUAAAACUCGUGCGUUUUUUUGGGGCUUGUUUUUAACUAGUAGUUGCUUAUUUGCGGUUGCUUUUCUGAACCCCCCCGAUUUGAAGUUGAAGUUACUGUUGGUUUGGUGCUCCAACACAGUUCAGGUUUCUCAUGUGGCCCCAUGUAAAAAUUAAUUGCCCACCCCUGCCUUAUAGUGAGCAAGCAAAGUGCUUAUUAGGUACCCCUUAGCCCCUCCCCUCGGCCCACCCAUAAACAAAUUAUGGGGGUUUAAGAGACAAUAUGCAAAAUGCAACACAAAAGUCAUCAAUAAAUCAAACUUUUCAAUAUUGACAAAAAGGCACUAAUAGGCCUCCAUACAGCUGUGGCCUUACUCAUUGAAAACACAGGAAAUCAGACAAAAUAUCACAAAGGAACUAUGAUGGUUUGGUCCGGCGCGCCAACUCGCGCCAUUUACUGAGGGACCAGGAAGUGUCCCGGUUUGGUUUGGACUGGAUGAUGGCAGCAGGUAAGAGGGUGUGUGUGUGUAUCUGGCGUGUAGUAGUUGCGUGUGCACCUUUAAACACCUACAGCGGGGAGAAACGAGUCCAGGUAAAAGGGGAAACGGUUUUUUGGAGUGCAGGACCGCGAGACACAGGUGCGAGCCUGCAGGGAAACAAUAAAACAGUUUAACGGGGCUUGGCUCCGCCGGGAACACUCCCGGCACCGGCACUCUCAGGCCGCGAGAGAGAGACCCGCGCCAGUCGGGGGAUGACAGUGCGUUUUAAUGACGCUCCGUCACACAUGUGAUCUCCUAAAAAUGUUAAAACAAACACAACGAGCACUUUACAGCGGUAUCCUGCCUCAAAUGCAGUGUUUUAGACCACACUGGUGCAUAGUGUAGUGUCUAUUUUGAGACCAGAUCUUAAGGUAGAUAUAAAAUAUUGGUCACUUUAUGGGGAGAAGAUGUUGAGUUCCCCGGAGCAGGUUGAACGUUACAAAAAUUUUUUUAUCCAAACAUUAAGUAUUUGUAAAGAACAGUAUUUGUAGAAUGUGUACUGCGUUUCAUUGGUGCUGCCUCUAUCUAUCUAUCUAUCUAUCUAUCGAUCUAUCGAUCUAUCUAUCUCUGUAUGCUGUGAUGGCAUGGGUAACAGAUUGAUUGAUAUGUGUUGUUUUUCUGUGUACUGUAUUAGUAAUUAGGGUAAUUGAUUGACUGAUUGAUUAUUGACUGUUGUUUGAUUGAUUGAUUUUUAUGCUGCUGUGUACUGUAACAGUACAGGUAAUUGAUCCGUUGACAUAGGGCUGGACAAUAUUGGAAAAGAUUUAUCACAAUACAUUUUUUUCAUAUCAGUCAAUAUCGAUAUCACAAUGUAAAAAAAUGAAAUUUAACAGUGCUUAUUGGUGGCAUGUCUUUUGCAAUACAAUAAGCUGCUGCAUCUGUGGAGUCUGUGUGUCUCUAUGACAUUUUGUCAUAAGGCGUUGCGCUUGAGACAUGGCAGAAUGCCUGUUAGAAAGCCCAUGUUGUUUAGGUGUUUUCUAGUAAAUACUGUUCAGUCAUAUUGUGUUUUACAGUGAGUUUUCAUUUGUCCUAUGCCCAUGAAUGCACCACAGGCAUUCUUAUGUGAACAAGAAGAGAGAACGCCCUUUUCUCUUUUUUAAUGCGGACUACCGAAAAAGUAUAUUGACCAUGUUUUAUAUUUAUAUUGAGAAAAAUUAAUUUUCGAUGUAUAUCAUUAUUGUUUCAUCGCCCAUUAUUGUUUGCUGGUAUGGGUGACUGAUACUUGUUGCUGCUGUGUACUUGUCUUGCAUGUGUGAUGUGUGUCAUCUGGUGCGACAACUCAAUGUUUCUGUUCUUUUAUUUAUACACUGCAGACUAUUUGACAAAUUUCUCUACAAGGACAAUUAAAAGUAUCUGAAAUGAAAUGAAAUUUAUCGUGUUAGUUCAGGUACAUCAGCUGAUCCUAAUGGUAGCGCAUAUCGGCUAACACCUUAAUUGAGUACUUUUAAUAAUUCCGUUUAUCAAAAGUUCAAGUAGGUGCUUUGUUCAAACUGCCUCAGCCGCAUUAUCCUACCUGCCUCCGCUUUAAACUGCUUUGAAACCCGCCUCAGUUACAGCUCCUUCUUUUUAUGCUGUCUGAAUUUACUAGUGUAUUUGAUUCUGUACCACUGUGCUCUUUGCUGCUGCUCUUCCUGCCUCGGCUUUUCAUGCAUGUGCAUCAAACAGAGAGGGGGUGUGCUCUGACUGAUAAGUCUUCUACCUCGGUUGUUUUAUCUGUUGCAGUGUCUACAUUGGCUUUUUAUGAAUGAAAGGCAGGGGAGGUGCACAUUUUCCAAACUUAGAGAAAACUUGUAGAAUUUGAAGCAUCAGACAGUCGGUACAUGUUGUUGCAUUAGACUCCCUAAUCAAGAUUAUAAGUGAAAAACUGAACACUUUUUAUAUGGAUUUGAAACUAUUGUGAAAUGUAAAUAGCAUACUUCUGAAUCUGUGCAAGUAGUUGAAAUAAACUAUCAAAAUACACCAAUAAAUAAAUAAACUGUAAAAACAAACUUUUUUUUUAAUGUAUAAAAUUUAACUCUCUGCACACCAAAGGUAGCUAAAGGCCUGAAUUUCACAAUGAUUAGGAACAAUGUUAUGAUAAAUGGAAGUGGCUCUGAAACAGUACACAUACCGUAAGAUUUGUCUCCUCAUUAACCCCCUCCCCCUUUGUCUUUGUUCCAUAAAGAAAACAUGUCUCCAUUAUAAGAAAAAAGAAAAAAAACAUGUUGGCUGUUGUGUAUGAAUCAACAGCAAUUAGCCCACACCACGCCUUGGGUGGGCCAUCUGCUGCACCAGUAUCACACACAAACAGGUGGGCCCCCACCGCCUCGCUGAUCGCUGUGUCGAACACCACCACGACAGCGUAGUGAUUAAUAGGAGCUCCUAAAUAUCUUGCCGUGCAGAGAACGUACGGUGCACGUUUCACAAAGACAUACUUCUUCUUCCACAGCACACACUCAGGCCCACAUUUUUUAAUUAGUGAUUUUAACUGAAGUCAUAGUGCAGGCUAAUUGCUGGUAAUAAUGAUAUUCGAUUAGGGAAUCAAUUGGCUGUGGUGCCUUGACUGCUUUGAUGGAUGCAGCCUUGGGCAGCAGCUGUGAAAAGCUCACAUAGUGACGGUAAAAAGACAGAAGAGGAACAAAACGUCUGAACACAGAACAAAGACGGAAGAAAAACCUCUGCAGGGAAACAAUGAGUAACAAGGAACACUGGUGAGAGCUCAGGUAUGACUCGAAAUAUAGACUCACUAACUCUUUGCUGUCAAAGCCCGAAAGCUUUUUGAUAGAUUUCCAGAUCCUGAAAAACUUCCAUCUGUGCCACUGGCAUCGUCUUAACAGCAGCCAGAGUGUGAGUGUGAGUGCGUGUGUGUGCGAGUGUGUGUCAGUGUCAGUGUGUGAAGUCAGAGGAGCCAACAGUAUUGAACAGCCUGCAUCGAUUCCCAAUGUCAAGUCCAAACAGUGUACAAGAGUGGGCUUGUUGUCCACAUCUGUGUGUGUUCUCGUGUAAAAGAAUGUGUGUGUGUGUGAUUGUUGCAUGUUGGUGUGCACGUGGAGAGUGCUCAUAAUCUGCCUCUCAGAAGUUCAAUGAUCCAUUCUGGCUCCGCUCUGCAGCUUCAAAAUGUGGUUUUGUAAAAGUUUCCAGGAACAAAUUCGGCUUAGGGCUUAGGCUUGUUCAGAUUUUUCUUUCAUUUUUUCGAAUUUCCAUUGAAAUGUUUUGCGAAGAGAGAAAACAAUCUCUAACAGAACGAGGACCAAACUUUUCUAUUUGAAGAAGCAUCUGCUGAUUAAUUGUUUGAUUAACUGUCUUUUUUUUUGGUGUAUAAAAGGUAAGAUAGCAAAAUGCUCGUCAAAAGAGCCCACUUAACCGUCCCAAAUCCACCCAAAUACUCAAUUUACUAUUAUCAACAAAGAAAAGCAGAAACUCUUUACACUGAAGAGACAGAAAUCAGUUUGACAUUUCUGGUUAUAAUUGUGUUCUUGUAAUUAACAUCAGUAAUAAACUACAAUUUCAGCUGCAUGCGGCAAUAAAUGGGCCCUUGCAGCAGUUAUCUGGUCCUCUGAGCAUGAACCAAAAGUAUAAAGCUCUUACAGUUCUGCAGUUCCCCACUAAGUUGGGCCAUAAGGUUGAACAAGUAUUGAUGUUUAGGAAUCUUUAUGAUGGCACAUUAAUAAAGAUUAAAGGGAUAUUCCGGCAUAAAAUUAAUUUAGGGUCAAACGCACUGUAACACAGAGUUAGACACCCCCUCCAGAGAUGAAUGUUGCCGACAGCUUGCUUCUCUCGUUAUACCAACUUUAGUAACGAUAGCAAUACACAGCGGUCUGAGGAGCCAUAAACAAACCUCAACCAAAACACCACUGUAUAGCCACAAAUAAUGCUCAGAACAGCACCUAACUUCAUCAACAGUACAUAUAGGGUCCCAGCCACAGCACUAGCCAUCAAUCAUCUUUUUAGCUUUGCUUAAUUUGUUUAGCAAAGAGAUUAAACACAACUCACCUACUCUCUUCCAGCAGCCGCUUGUUUGUAGCGAGACCUCAGGCCAGUCUAUUACAGACAACAGCGGGGUGACGCAGCUCAAGGAAGAACAUUUAUGAUCAUUUCUUCAUGGAAAUGCAAUCAGACUAAGACGCAAAGGCAGAAGAACUACCGCGUCUGCAGUGCAACAUGAUUAAUAUGGUGAUUAUUACUUCAAGGAAAUGAUUAAGAAAGGCUUAUUAAGUAGCGUACAUGAGUAUUAAAACGACUUUUGUCCAAUAGAUGGCAUUCUUACUAUGACAGAAUAAAUAUCCGUUUGUAGAUGAGUUCAGGCUGAGACUAUCAUCAAACCUGUAAAAUUUGGAUCCAAUUGGACCUCGUAUGUUAAAGUUAGUACCAUGUGUUCCCACAAGGUGGCCCUGUUCUGUAUUGAUGUGUUAAGGUUCGGACCUUGGUCAUGCUCAUGUCAUUUUAAACAGAUUGGACGCUGUAUGAAACUAAGUUCUUGUUUCAUCUGAUAACUUUUAGUAAUGGCUGUGGCUGCAAUACACCGACCACAGUUGGAGAUGAUCUGAGGGCAAGUUCGAUCAAACACACACCUUGUAAAUUUAACAAAAAUUUCUGGACUCUCUGUUGAGAUACAAAGAUGAAUCCAAGAGUAUUUUGGUUGAACUCAGUGGUGACAGGGGUGCUGUGAAGACACGAAUUUCGUAAAACAUAAAAUAUCAAGUUUACACCAGACAUGAUUUGUGUGUGAAGUUUGAUACGUUUCAGGGAAUGUCAUACCGCCCCAGACAGGUUUUUUUUAGGGAAAUUAAAAAAGAAUUACCAAUCUUUUAUCUGUUCACAGCUGAAACUUCACAUUAUCAGGGUGAAAUCUAUUUUGGGAGUAAAGACUUGAAUCAAAAUGUGCCAGAAAUCAAACAACACUGAGACGAGAAAUGAAAAGAAAACAGGAACGACACGAUUCAGCUGACAUCAUUGUCUUUUUGGCAAAGAUCUUGGUGUUGAGAUUGCCAAAAGUGAUGCUUCUGGUAUUCUUUUGAUUUGAUUCUGGCUUAUUUCUCACUCAAGAUGCUUUUUGCAGAUUUUCCCUCUCAUUGAGGGACUGAACUUGUCAAGAUAACGAGGGGAAAAAAAAUCCUCAUUCUCACGAUAAACAAGUACUUUAGGAGUUUUUAACCACAUUUACGUCAGUCUUUAUCUAAAUUGAUUUUGUAAUUUAAUCACGCUCAUCUCUGACUGUAGGUAAAACUGAAUGGUUAGUUUGUCUGACGGUCCCCGGGGCCGCCCUUAGGCCAUCUCAUACACUCAGCACACGUUAAUCCACCUGACAGUUUGACAGCGCAGCGUUUAUUUAUAGAGCCGAACAGCAGCUCUGCAUGUUUUAGCGAGAUGGAGCGCGAGAUGGAGAGGGCUGCGGUGUGAAUGUACAGCAGUGUUUGACCCCCCUCACAGGUAGCUGACCCUCUGCUUGUCUCUCUGCCUGUUUAUUACCGAACCACUGAGACAGAAUUCACAUCCUGUCUAAUUACAUAACCUCCUACCCCCCCGCUGUCACAGAUGUGGUCUCAGCAUGUGCAGAUCCCUUAUAUACUGUCAUCAUCAUCUCAAGCAAAUAAAAUAACCGCUCGUGGAUUUACAUUUCCAUACAGCACCUGUAGCUCCGUGCCUCACCGCUGUAAUUGAAUCAGCUGGGAGAAUAUGCAGAGCUACAGCCAGGCCACGAGAUUCAUCAGAGAGUGGCGGUAAUGACUGCCUCCUCUCUGAAAACGGGUGUUUGGUUCAAGUCAAACUGGUUUGUUUCUGCGUGACUGAAGAGUUAUACGGCUACUUUAUUUUUCUCUUGUCUAUGAUUUUGUUGGACCCAUUUGACCAAGGAUGGAGAUCUCAUACUCUGUUCAGGCAAGGAGUGUCCUGAUACAACUUUUUUUUACUUCUGAUACGAUACCGAUAAUGUCGCCUUCAGUAUUGGCCGAUACUGAUAUUGCUCUGAUAUUGGCACAAAAUUGUGCAUGACACGUUUUGCAUCAGCUGCAACGUCUUUUUUUGGACUUGAACAAAAAUACUGCCACACGGCCAACAUCACUCCUACUUCUUGCUGCUUAGUUAGUACCUUCAUACACACUGUUGUUGUGAUUACGUGGGCCCUGCAUGCUGGAUCUGGGCGGUGCUAGAUGGAGGUUCUGGAGUGGAGUCUGGAAUGGACUGCUUUUAUUGGAGUGAUGAUUUCAGACAUAAUCCAAUAUUCGUUUUGUUGCUGAUAUCAGGCAGAGGUCCGAUAAUAUCGGAUCGCAAAAUCCUUAGCUAAGGCUGUCACAUUUUUUCCAAAAUUUGAACCCUUAUCUGAACUCUGGUGGAAGAAGUUUAUAUCCAAACUGUUAUGAGGCAUUCAAACUCAUAGUAAUCCAAUUUACUGGCACAUCAGGCCUCAGAGGACUAUGUCAGGCACAAUCAAGCGGACAAUCACGACACUGAAAUGUCUGCAACUUGUAGCCCUUCGAUGCCCGAAACCACAAAUUAUGGCAGAAAAAUCCAUUUUUUGGGGGGGAGUCGAAACGUUUAUUUCACUUCAUACUGAAAAUCCAAAAAAAUCAAAAUGUCCUUAAAAUUUAACAAAUACAUAUUUUUUUUAAUCUAGUUUGAUAUAUUAGAUGUUUUUGGAAACUGAUGAACUAUAAGAGGACAUUUUUAUCAUUUAUCGGACUGUAUUCAGUUGUUUUUUUUUUCUUGUAAUUUGUGGAUCGUAUUUAUUUGAUAUAUAAAAGUAUGUAUCAAAUAUGAUACAAAAAGCAUUAAAGGGUUAAGUCUAGACAAAUUUUUUUUCUGCAUGUCUGUAAAAACUUCUCAACCUGUAUGUCUGCGUCCAUAGUGGCACCUGUGUCCGGCCUACAGCUGCAUCUACUGGCCAAGCGUUUCAGCGUGUUGAUUUCCAGUGACACAUGAUUUCAACUCCAAACAUAUUGUUUUACCCUGACAUGUUUCUGAGAACUUUAUGAAAAGUUGUUCAAUCCCUCCUCCAGCAGACACAACCAUUUUCUAAAAACUUUUUUAAUGCUUAAUCAUUAAGAGAAAUGCCGGCUGUUAUUUGUCACAGCUUCAUAGACAUUGUGUCUGUUGCUGUUUCUUUUAUUUGGUCCACCCUCUGUAGUUGUUUACCACACUUGCUUUCAUUUAUGUUGUCAUAUCAAAGCGUAUCAAAUUUUACAUUCUAUUUAUCAGCAGCUUCCCCCUAACUCGUAUUUCACGGACCUCCCACUGCUCAUCCCACCAAGUGAACUCUGCAUCAUUCACCCUCAGCAUGUGGUGGCUGUGAGACGUAGAGAUACAUUCAGCAACAUCAUUAACAACAGCUGUUCAGAAAAAAAAGGAACAAAAUGUGAAAACAGGAGGCAGGGUUGAGAUGUAAAGGGAAACAGCUCCAUCAGCUUGAAUUACUGAGUUUCAACUGACUGCGAGGACGAUGUGCAGGAUGCUUCACGAACCUGGUAAAAUGUCAGAAGUGUCAGUUUGGUGUGACUGUUGAUCACAGCUAAUGUGGUAUGACAGAGGGUGAGAUUUCUAUGUAUCUUAUAGAUUAUCUUACGGUCAUUUCUGAGGAUCGUUAUUGCAGGAAAAUCAUGAUGAUGUUGCUUUGAGUUAACAGAAACAGCCUGCUUUACAAGUCAAUACUGCUUGUUUAUUGUUUGAUAGAAAUAACAGGCACAAAAUCACUCAUUCAGCAAGAGCAGAUUCUGGUACUGGAUGACAUUUGUCAAACAACUUUUUAAUGUGGACACUAAAAUUUCAUUGUUACACAAGAAAAAAUCAUCUCAUGGUCUGACACAUGUCCUCAGUAGGUGUUAGAUUGAGACUGCAGGCCAGUUCAGCACCAGGACUCUUCUACUACUGAGCCAUGCUGUUGUUAUACAUGCAAUAUCUGAAGUUAUGUCUGGAUGGCAGUAUAUGCUGUUCAAAACGUGUAUUGUCAAGUAUUAAAAGUGCGUUCCAUGGUUUCCAAAAAUAAUUUCAAACUGUGAUUUGUCCGUACUUGACAGUUUUCUACUGCACCUUAGUCAGUCUCUCUUUGGACUUGUUUCCAGCCAUUCUGGGUCAUGUUUGUAUCUGCUCUCUUCCAGGAUUUUGACCCUGUGCAUUGAUCUCCACUACAGAGUUGUGUCAGAUCUUACAGCAAUCUAGGGUUGGGUUAUUUUGAACAAUUCCGGUCCUGAUUCCGGGAGAAUCGAAUGUUAGUCCCGGUCCCCAUCAAUGCACGAAACUCAAUGCCCAACCCUACAGCUGUCCCGCUUGAGGGCUUUAAGAUCACGUCCAUCCGGUGUUGGUUUUCAUUCUUGUCCUUUUUGAGCAGAGAUUUCUCCAGAUUCCUGAGUCUCUUAAUGAUGUUAUGUACUGCUCGGGCCUUUUCUUCUCUUAGUGCCUUUAAACUGUGGAAUCCUCUUCUUUCCACCAUCUGAGUUCCCCAUCUGUUGAGGUUUUCGAAAGUUUUCUAUAAACACACUUUUACUCUUUAACUUUUAAUUGCCCCUAGCUUAAGUGUCUCAGAUGUUUUCAUCAGGUCUUUUAUGCCUCUGCAAAUAUUUUGGUACCUCAGCCUAUUAAACUGCAAGUCCUUUUGGUGCCUGGACUUCACCACACUGCAGCUAUUUCAGACUUUAUACAACAUUCUUAUUAUUGCUGCAUGUAGAUGACUUAUCGUGUAUGAACCAAACUUCAUUUUGAAAGUCUGUAAGGUUGCUGAUCUGUUAUUGCUCAACUGAUUGCAAACCGUUGCAUGUGCAAAACUGACACUUGAGAGGAACCCACAUGGUGUCAUUUUGAGCUAGAUGUGAAGCUACUAAACUUGAGAUUGUAGAGAGAUUAUCUUGUCCCAAACGCAAGAUUAAGAGGCUUUGUUUUUGAGUUGAUUCUGUCAAUUUGGUCUGUUGCUGUUGUCAGAUUUCAUCAUAGAAGAAGCUGUUAAAUUUUUAGCAGCACCAGCUGAUGAAUCAAUGGAGCACUUUCUAUACCCUCAAUAUCACCCUAGUUCCUUUUCUUUAUCCUCUCUUCAUUUAGGAGGCUCUGUACAGUUCGCCCACCGUCUCACUGCCACAUCAGUCUGGUGAUAAUAUGAGAUGACAGCUGCAACCCAACGCAACCCCUGUAUAUGCUGGAGACACCGAAGAGGACGGCGCAAAGCUGGAAAAAAAAUAAUCACAUCUCCAAUCUUACUCCAUCAUUUCCAAUCCAUCUGUAAACAGAAAACAAUCAAAUGACAGGUCCUGGAGUGAUCAGGGUUCAGGGUAAACUCCAAAUACCCCCUUCCCUCCAAACAAACAUCAUGCUUAUUGCCUUGUGUCUUGACCUGAGCUUUUCAGGAAACCAUAGACAGCCACACAGUACUACUCUCUACUUUUAAUACCUCUAUUUAAAUUAUAUAUCUAGGCUUUUACAGGUCACUCAGCAUUAAUUUUAGCAAAGGUGGGUCCCCUCUGAGCUUACAGUCUAAAUGUAAUUAUAUGAUGCAAUAUAUUCUGUGAUGGGUGUAUAAUCAAACUAAUAUACUGAAGGGUGAUGAAGUGAGUAUGACUCACCUAACCUCUUCCACACAGUGUCAUAAUGACGUCCAUCAGAAAAAUGUUCCCUUGGCGUGUCUUAUGUUGAGAAUGAAUGGAAAACAAGGAACGACUUUGAUUAGAAAGCUCCUCCAUUGCAAUCAUUCAGCCCGUUUAAUGUUUUGGUUAUUGCGUGCUAGCUCCAUGUUUCAAUAUAUUCUUUGUCUGUUUGUGACUUUUGACCUUUCUAACCAAGCCAACCAGCCAGUCUUUGGUUGAAAAACAUCCCAAUUUUAAAGAUCAAAUGUCAUUGCAGUUUCAGCUCCUCUCAAAUGGAAAAAUUAAUAAUUUGACCAAUUCAGUUAACUUCGGGGGCACCAAUGUUGUUUGGUCUGGACUUUCAAACUUUUUGUAGACAGAUAUGACAACCCCCCUGGACCUUGGUCCAACCAAAGGAGGUGGUCUCAUUCCGAACCAAACUGAACCAUGGUCUUGUUCAUGCCCAGAAUAAAAGCAUUAUUUUGAAAGGUUCAGACCUUUUUACCAAAGACAGGAAAAGAUGCAAGAAGUGAAAGAGUCUGUUAGUAUGUUGACUGGAGAUUGUCCUAGAACAGGAAUCUUUAUAAUAUUGUAGAUAAAUACCUCACUAUUGACAGCUUAUCUUUUACAACAUAGACUUUCUCUCCUGAGUCAGUGUUGCAGUGGCUCACAGGAUUGCAUAUUUUCUUCUUCUUUCCUGUUGAUGAUAAAGGUGUCGUCUUAUGAUAGCCAUAAGAUGAACUCAGACCAGCCUCAUGUACAGCACUUUAAGUUGUCACUGUGGGUAGUAGAAAAUCAACAAUAAUAUGAUGGUGUUUACAUGUUUACAACAUGAAAGACCCGCAUUAUGCAACAUGUUGAUAUAAGAAGCCCACCGGCAAAAUGACCAAUCAGCGUAAACUACAGAGACACGUAAAGCAUGUUGUUGAUGACGAUAUCGUGUAGGUUUGUCAUGUAAAGUCUGUUAGUCUGUUUGCAAUAAUGGCUGUGAAACAGACUGAAGCAAAUGUAUUGAAAUAAACACCAACCUGGUCUGGACCUUGGUCCGGACACCCUUAGCUAUCAUCUAUCGUCCAAUAUCCAACUAACAGUUUUCUGUGACUCAAACCUCUUUGAGAAGACAAUGACCGUUUUACAUGCUUUUAUUUUGGUAUUUUUUCUGUCUCGCAUGCUUUAUGGAAAAACUACUUUAAUUUUUGGUUGAAGCAGUGCACAACAUCAGGUAGACUGUGAAUUGCAGAACUGAAUGAAAACACUUAAAAGAAUUGUUAGAAAGUAUAAAUAUUAAAUUGAUCUGUAACCCAUAGAGGUACAAGCUCUCACAUUGGUUGAAGAUUUUCCCUAAAUCUUGGAAUUUUAGUUUUUAAAAGUGCUGGGUUAUUUCUGAGAGGGCCGCUACAGCUAGUUUGCAAGCAGCUGAGGGUAUUAAGGGUAUAAUAUGUUCGCAUGUCUCAUAGAUGUAUAAUAUUCCAGUUUUCAAAUGAUAUUAGACCCUAAUUACACUUAAAAAAUGUGUCAAAUGAUCCUUACAUUGGCCCAAAAAGAUUACAGCAGCCCCAAAAACUUAAUUUAGGAAGUAAUGGUUCUAUAUUGCGGCGAAACCUGCGCUCAAACACACAUUCACACUCUGUUCCACUGCUUUUCUCUUUUACAGUCAAUUCCCUGUGCUUCCAGUCAAAUAAUUUCACUCUCAUUAUACAGGACCAACAGUUUUUAAGGAGCAAACCUUGGCGAAAUUAUUAUUACUGCUCAUAAUUGGAUGAGGAAUGAAAUGUUCUUGGAAAUGUGAUGGUCAGAGAAAGCAUCCCUCGCCACUUUCUCUCUUAAACACCCCUCAUUCAGUCUCUCCCACCCUGCCAUUACCUCAAUCGCUCACCUUUUUCCUCUCUCUCUCUCCAACUCUCUCCCCCUCAUCCACCCUCUGAUGCUCCCCCUCCCACUUCCUCCUCCGAGCAUUAGAUGAGUGCGGUGGUCUAAUUGCUUUCUUCAGGGAGAGAAUUAGCAUGAGCUGUCCUGAGUGCUCUGGUCUAAUGCAUAAAGAACAGGCAGCAAAGGCUCAAAAAUGGGGGGCCGGGGAGUCGGAGACACUCCUUCCAUUAGCCAAUCAGUCACACUUAAAAGAUUUUGGGGGGUGACUGAAAACCACAUCGAGUGGUCAUACUUUAAUAUGUGAACAACUGGAAUCUGCGUGUUGUAUGACUCGCUAAAUUUUGCACACCACUGAUAAGGGUUAGCAGGUGACUGCCAUCGCCAAAUCCUGCACCCUGAUGUUCAUUUUUAAUAGGAAUCCCCCCAAAUCCACACAGGACUCAUAUGAAUCUGCAUGUGCUGCUGUGUUCAAUUUCUCAAGCUACAGUGGACAAAAAAGAGUGCACAGUUUCAGCAUAAACCAAAGCUCAAUUACAGGUUGUCACGAAAAGUUACUCUUCAGUCACAAAGAUUUUAAUUGGCUGCAAUGGACCCAAUCUCAAUACUCCAAGCCUCAAUCCUAGGACCUGUGAUUACUUGUUUUGAUUCCAGUUUCGAUUACUUGUUUUGAUUCUUCUGCAGGGCAGGAUAAAAAAAAAAGCAUGGUCUUAAUGAGGGCGCUAACCAGAGUUCUUUUUGAACUUCUCCAUGAAUUUUUACAUUAUCUGAACGAUUAAUGAACUUUACUUUGAGUUUUUCAGAACGAUUUGUUUUGAAGCCUCAAUAUUAGCAGAAGACAGACGUAAUUUAUUGUUUCACGUAUCUGAUUUUGAUUGGUUAGAGGAUGACCGGCACAGUGCGUCAAAGACGGAGCAAUCAGGUAUUUCUAUUCCAUGAAUCCAGAGAUGUUUUUAAUCAUGUUGGUCGUACACCCUCCUUAGCACCAUAAAACUGUUAUGCAAAUGUUGCACUGAGAUGACAGUUCAUUCUUAAUGCUUAAGUUAAAACUUUUGACCACUGCCAAUGCAUGUAAACACUAUCUGUGGCUUCGGCGGCUAUUUUCAUGAACAUAGUGGCUAUUUCUCCCGGUCGGAGGACUUGGCAUCGAAACUUCAAAUCGAAAUGGUUCCGUGAGAAUUGGAAUAUAAGUCCCGGUUCCCAUCAAUGCUCGAGACUUGAUGCUGAACCCUACAUGCUAAUCAUGUUUUGUGUCCAAGCUGUAGGGCUGUCACCCGCAAAUAGCAGGAGCGGUAGCCCUGGUCAACUGUCAUUAGCUAUACUACUCAAAUAUAAUUAAGUAUUGUUGACAUGGCGUGGCUUUAGGGGUUUUAGGUUUGCCAACAUUAGCCAUAGUCUGCAAACCAUCUUACCGUGUUUUCUAGCGGUGUCUGAUUCAAGCGAUUUGAGAGUGUUGUGAGUAUAUUUUGCUUCAAUUUUGGUAAAUGAGAUGAUAGUUUCUAUGUAAUUUUCUUUCACAAGUCACACAAACUCAAUGCUGCCAAAGUUAGAAGUAUAACUAAGCUCAGUUAGUUCACUAUCAUUUUAACUCUAAGCUGACUUUGAGGUCCGUGAACUCAUAUGUGUCAGUCGCGUUAAGUGGCUUCAUAUUGUCUUGAAAUUCCCAGAUUAGAUUUCGUGUCCCAGUCUGUGUCAUCAUGUGUGUGUGCGUAACAGCGAGGCUGACAGCUGGAGGGGGAACAGCAGCGAAGACACCAGUACUCUGAAGAGUACAGAGCUGUUUGUUUUUAAUAACAUGCCAGAACAGAGGGAUGUACCGGAGGGUGACAGGGAUGAAGGGAGGAUAAAUAACCUCAGUAUACACAACAUCCCUCUUCCAUCACCGUCUAUUACAGCUUGACCCACCAGAACACAGAGUCAUUACACCGGUCGGUGCCAUUAAAAUAGUUCGGGGAACAUAUUUUUGUCUGCUUCCUCUUGUUUUUUUUAGAAUACCCAAGAGUGGUGCUUGGUCCCAGGUGUUUGUUGAACAUUAUUUAUCUCUUGGUUUUUUAAUUAAAAAAAAAACAGACCAGUUAUUCAAAUUAUACUGGGACAUAAAUUCAUCAUAUCUUCAUAAUUAUCCUUUUUUUAAACCAGCUUUCAAAAUGAGAACAGAGCUAGUUUCGGCAGGUCAUGAAGUCGGCAGAUGGGAUCCCGUCUUCCCACUCAUGGCAAAUGUCAAGCUGGUAUAGCCUGACUCGUGACGCUUCAUCUACAAACUGCUUCAAAACCCACCUCCAUCUUAGCCCCUCUAUUUUCAUACUUGUUCCUGAUUUAACCAGUGUCAUAAAAUGUAUUGUGAUUGAUGCUGCCCUCUAUCUGAGGGGUCUUUACUGCUGCUCCUCCUGCAUUGGCUUUUCAUUUCUGCACAUGAAGAUUUGCUGUUACUGCUUUACUCUCUACUCAGGUUUUUUUUUGCUUCUGUUCUCCCUGCCUUUGGUUUUUCAUGUAUGCAGGUAAAACAGAGAGGAUAUGUGCUCUCACUGCUACGAUUUGUUGCCCAUUUGUUCUUUGCUGCUGCUCUCCCUGCAUUGGCUUUCCUUGUAUACAUGUGAAGGGAGGAGGAGGAGUGUGCUCCCUGCCUCACCCCCAAUUUUCACCGCAUCCGGAACUGCAGCAGUUUUCUACGUCUGCCAGUUCCUACCAGAUCCAUUGAUGAGGCGAAUUUUGUGGCGUAUUACAGACAUCGGAACCCAGAGGGAUUCACGCGCAAUAACAAGUUGUCCCUUAGCCACAGAAGCUAACCAUAAAAGCAGUAGAUGGUGUCUCUUGCCGAGAAGCCUCUAGACUUCUAAAAUCAGCAUCUCCUCAUCCAUGGUGUCAUUGGGGUGAAAUGCUGUCGAAAAACCUUUCACUUGUUUGUCUCUGCCUGUUUGCAUGCUGUGAAAUACGAUCGGCCUGAAACGUGGAGUGUUUUAUUUUGAAAAGAAGCCGGAUGUUUUGUUUUGUGUCUGUGCCCGACUUCCUUUCCAGCACAAGUUAAUCUGUGCUGAAUUUAUCCGGCAUGCUCCGGCGUCCAGAAAAAAUAGAACUCUUGCGAUUAGAUUGAUACGGCCGGAUGCGGUGGGAAUUGGGGGUCAGACUUUUUACUUUGGGGUGAUAUACACAUAUAUGUUCAAUCCAAAGAUCUAAGAUAUUGUCCAACAUUUUGCCCACAGACAGCAUGACUUAGCAGUGUUUUGUCUUUUGGUUGAAUUCAGAGCACAUAGCUGAGGUUUUACGUUAUUACAGAAGGACUUGAGGUUUGUUUAUUUGAAGUCCUUAAAUUUAGAAAGGUUAUAUGUCACUGCCAUUUCAUGCUGCUAAGAAGAGGAACUGUUCUGUACGGAAACAAAAGACAAAAUGUUUCUGUGGAUCAGGCUUAAAAGGGGGAAACACUUAUAUGCUGUGACUACUCGAUAUGCAGGCUUGUUUUAUGCAUGCAGUUUUAAGUAUGCAUUCAUAUUUGUGCACCUGAGGCUCUUGGUUGUUUGGUUGUUGUCGAGCAGAGCCUCGGUCUAAUUGAGCAGACAUCAGGCUUUGAUUAAUAUUGUUGAUGAGUGCUGCCAGCAGGGGUGAAGACACGGAGAGGAAGAACUGUCAGACAAACACCCAGGUAACAUCCUUCAUUCCCUCCGCCUCCUCCCCUCCUCACCACCUCGCUCCCUCCCUGUACUCACAGGAAAGGAUUCAGUGCCCCACUGGUUCACCGUUGAUUACACCAUUGUCUGCUUAGAUUGCUGAGCGAGCUCCAAGUCUGCCAUAUCUUUAUAAAGAAUGCACCUUGAGAGGAAUCUGAGAAAAAGACCAAUUUUGCAGCAGAGCUCAUCUUUGAAUUUGCUGGUGGGAACAUUUCUUGCUAAUGCUGGAGGAGGAGAAGCAUGAAAAGACUGUUAGCUCCUAUCACAAAACCAACAAAAUGUUAAAAGUAUAAUUUUAAGGAAAAGAUGGAUGAGUUGAAGUGUUGCAGUAGCACUGCAGUAGAUACUGCCUGGGGUCAAUCCCAAUCCCGCAAAGCUUCAGCAAUGCAAAAUCCGAGUUAUGCGAACAUCCCAGUUGAGUUUCUUCCAAUACAAGGUGAAUGGAAGUUUCUGCUUCAACCAAUUUCAGUGUGGUUUAUAUGGGAAAUUAAAUCCCAAGUUACCGACGAGUCUGACACAAAGUUGGUUUGCCAGUUGGCGAUGUAGUGUUUCACAGCUUCUGCUAUGGUGGACUUGACAGCCUUGAAACCAAUCUACUGUCUUCUCUGUGCUGCUGCUGCUGAUCACUAUAUGUUGUGUGGCGUUUUGAGUGGCGGCAAAAAAUCAGAAAGCCUAACUCACUUUAUCCUGGCAUAGAAAAGUGUUGACUUCUAAAUAUGAGACAAUCAGUUUUCCCAGAAUUUCAUAAAAGAAAAAAAAAAAAAAGUUUAGGUUUAUAAAUUUUAACAUUUAACACUUUCUUGCAGGACAUUUUGGCUAAUGGUACAUUUUUCUUCAAUGUGAAACCAACAUAAACCCUGAUCUACAAACUCUGUAAAAAGGCAUCCUAGUUUGUAAUGUAAUAUCUGCGUUGAGCACAUUUAAAUGACUUCUUGCAAUAAUGUGCAAUAUAGUUUGCCUUGCCUAGUUUAUUGCAAUAAAUUAAGAUUUUAUUAGGGAUGACUAAUAACAGUUUUUUUAAUGGUCGUAUUAUUGAUAAUCAUAAUGGUGGCCAAUGUAUAUCGCGUUGUUUUACUCAAAGCUUCUGCAAGGAACUUUUUUGUCAACUUUGGCGCCUCCUCUGGACAAAACUGACUUUGCUUAACCACUACAUACAUGCAUACAGAUUUCAGAAUAUGAGGCAGUGACUAUUUUUGAUAUGGUGAAAAACAACGACACAUCUAUCACACAUACUAGGUUGCCACAUCCCUCUGUCCCCCAAACUUUGCCUUCUAGGUGACAUGUCAGUUUUACAACUUAAUAAACACACUAAAACUACAUUGUACACAGCUCUAGCUGUCGCCAAGAAAACCAUCCUUCUAAACUGGAAAGCAAGAGAUCAAUUAAACAUCACCCACUGGAAGAACUUACUCGUAGAUCAAAUCUCAAUAGAAAAAAUGUCAGCAUCACUUAAUCAUAACACACCUUGCUUUAAUAAAACCUGGUCUACAUUUAUUAAUAAACUGACUUUCAACGAUCGCCGGACCCCCCAAACCACA